GUGCUCCACACCUGGACGCAGCUGUGAAUGACUGCCGACCUCAUGGAGUCAGCUUCAUCGCCGUGUUUGAUUCGGCGUCAUCGACAAAGAGGACCUGAAGGACACCUAGGCGUCUUUGGGUAAAUUCAACGUGAAAGCCAAAGAGCUGGAAGAGAUGCUGAAGGAAGCAGCUAAAAACACGUUCUUCAACCUGUUUGGAGAAAAGCUCCACAGUGAGAACCUGAAAGGGACCUCCACCUGUGAGACUCUGGUUUAACUUCAGUGUAUUUCAUGAAUCCAUGGAAAACUUCACCUUCAUACUGAGAGUAUUUCAGGUUCAGGUGUGAUGGGGGGGUGUCAGUGCUGCUCAGUCUGAGAGCGGCUCUUCCUGUAUUUGAAGUGUGUUAUGGGAGGAGCCUAAGUUACAUUAGUACCUGUCUGACUGCAGGUACAGCAGAUGUUUCAGCCAUCAAACAUCGAUGCCACAGGAACCCUGGACUACAAAUCCCAGUUACAUCAACACUCAGUGAGGAGCAGCAGGAAUGACACAUAUAUUCCUGCUGCAGACGGUGCGUCUGAUCUUUGUCUUUGUUCAGCACCAAAUAAAAACACAAAUGCUUUGAAGGCUCUUUAUUAUCAGCGUGCUGAAGACAUCAGACCAAGAGAACAUCUGAGAUGAUCCAUCCAGCACGAGGGUGGUCCUUCUAGCUGCAGAUCCUGGAGGCUCGUAUCUGCUCAGGAAGGGACGAGAGCUCCAUCCAGCAGGAGAACCAGAGCUGCUGCAUCAGUGCUUUAGAGGAUGGUGACUAU